UUUUUUUUUUUUUUGACUAUGUGUAGCUAUCAGUAUUUAGAAAAGAACAACCCAUGGGUUUUUUUCCCCCAACUCUGCAUUUUUGAGCUUUGUGUAAAUACAAAUGCCUCAACUUUUCACUCUUUUAUUGUGGAAAGUUACAAAUUCAGGCAUGGAAAAAAAGGGACACUAUUGAGUAAGGUGUUACACAUUUAUUGGCUGAACAGUCAUUAUAGUAGGGAUUACACAACUCACACACUACACACAAAAAGAAGUAAUAGCUGCUAAAAAUCCAAUUCAAGGAUGUAUAAUUUGAUUACUUCUAUUAACACUAAGCUCAGUUCCUCCCUCAAUUACAAAUACACGAUUCUCAAUGUAGCAAUAAGAGGCCAAUAUAGGAUAAAUAUUUAGUCCUUAUCCUCAGUUUCACACCUCUCUAACUUUAAAAAAGCCCACCCUGUAUUCUAAUAUUUCUGGGAAGAAAUCCAUGUGCAUCAUUUGGUUAAUCCUGCAAACAUAUUAAAAUCAACUUUCAGAUUUUUCUCAACAUUUGCAAGGAAGAUCCUUUGUCAUGGCAAAUGCCUUCUUUUCAAAACAAAAAUGUACAUCAGACAUUCACAAGAUUUACUAAUAAUUAGUUGUUUUUAAAGUGAGACUUUAAUUCUUUAUAUAUAGAGUUAAAAUGGAAAUAAAGAAAAAAAAUCAAUGAAAAUGCUAGAUAAAUUGACAUUAUUUUUCUCUCCUUCUUCUCUGCCCUCCAACCUCAAUAUAAUUUUUUCUAGACUCCUGCACAUGGAAAAACUCUUCCAAAUAGUUGAACACUAGGUUUUUUUCCAAGUUUUGAUCAAAUUUUACUGGUCUUUAGCCUCCCAGGAAGGCCAGCUGAAAUAUCCACUCCCUCUCUGUUUCUCAUGCAGGCUGUUAGUGGUGUGUUUGUUCCCUUCUGGGUGCAAAACACAGAACUUAUUUCAAACCCAUUGAUGUGUUGUGCAGCCCUAUUUUCCAAGAAAAUUGGAUCCUGCUGCCAAGGGAUGAAUGAAGCUGGGAAAAUAAUGUUAGAAAGGUAGAAAAAGAGCCAAUCACGAGGUUCAAGGAGUAACAAUUUGCAGUUAAACUGAAUUGCUCAGAGGCAGGGCAGUGACAGAGCUUUUUUGUGAGAUAAGUCCCAUUAGACAGGAGAUAGAGGAGCACUUUGAACUUGGGCUGGAUGUAAAAUGGAUGAGGGCUACCAGGACUGACCUUUUUUUGAAUUAUGAUGAUCCUAACAGGGAGACUUAAGUGAAAACUGAUGGAGGGAAAGCAGGGCUGCAGUUAACUGGGAAAAGAGAGCAUUUGGCUGUUUGAAGGGCCAUAGGUAAAAGCAGAAAAUUUCAGUGGACAUCCACAAAUAACGAGAGGCAUAAUUUAUUCAAGAAACUAUCCUUUCAAUUGACAGCCACAAGCACAGUACCAUGGUCUUUCUCUCCCUAAGCAGUCCCUGUACCUAGAUUGUCUUACUUCUUACUGUGGCACAAAAAUCUUUUCAAUCUCAGCUUCUUUGUGAUGUUAGGGCUUCAGGCAACUAUUAGAAAAAUUCAUAAGGAAAACAAUUAACUCCUUUUAAGUCUAUUUAUACUCUGUUUUCAUGGCUUCACAUUUCAUUUCCAGAAAGCGCAACGGAAUUUACUGCUAUGCUCCCAAGUGCUACUGGCAAAGUUAUUACUCUAUUUAUUAUGAUAGCAGUGUUUAAUCAUUAUAUACGUAAUAGUAUCAAAGAGUCUCAGUUAUAAUCCCUUAAUUAUGAAAACCUUAUGAGUAAACCCAGCUUUUAUUAUUGAAGAAUAAUACUGUAAGCAGCAGUUGCUUUGAAGGGCAACACGCAGGCCAAAGGUAAAAAAAAGGCCAGUGAAAUUUCUGAGAGGCUCUAAACACAGACACAGGGAGAGCUGUGGAUGCAGCGAGAGCAAUCUCUUCUCUCUAGGAGUUCAUCUCUGAGCAGGCUGAGCCAUUAGAGGGACCAUAAUAUUCUGCAGCAGGUCAGGUUUCCAUGCUGGAAAGGCUGUGGCACAGCAGUUUGGACCUCAGGCCUCAUUUUUUCCUGGGAAAUAACUGUGCUGUGAUUUAUGACUUGCCUGGUGCAGCUAAUGCAGGUUUUCUCUUUUUGAAUCCUGAAUAUUUGCCUAACCAGCCAGCCUUGUGCCCAUCUGCCCUUGUGCUCGUGGAUAUUGACUUCCUUAUCCUUGCAAAUGCGCAAGGAAUUUUAUUGGGAAAAGGCAAAUGUCAAAAGUGUAAAGCUACUUUAAUAAAACUGGCUGGGAUCAGGUUUCCCUGCUGGCUGCCUGCCAUUGAAAAUCCCUUUGUUAGCUUUUUAAAAUUUCCUGUGACAAAAAGAGCCCUUUUCAUUUCUUUCUAUCAGAUAGAACAAGUUUAAUUAAAAUGUGAAGAAUUUUACUAAAAAUGUCAUAGCACAGAAAUCUUGGGGCAACUUUCCUUUUGAACCUGCAUUAUUUUGUGGUUUACAUUAUUUUAAGGACAGUUCUAAGCCUCAUCGAUGGGGCUUGAACGAACAAGAAAAGAAUUCAUUAAUUAUAUUACCAAGUUUUAGAGUGAUUUUAUCCAUCCAUUUUCCAGGCAUGCUGAUAAAAGUUUCAUGAAAAACAGGGAUCAUGAGCUGCUGUGGGGGUGGAAAAAAAAAAUAAAAGAAAAUACAUGUUAAAUAUGAACACAAUGAAACAAUUAAAGCAAAUGAAAGCAUUUCUGUGCAGCUGGAACCCACGAUUGAUAUACUGUGCACUGGACUGAGAGUUGGAGGAAACUCUCAUUGUCCCUACAGCUGCUUUAAUUGGCAAUAUUGAUGUUAGCAUAAGGAGCUAGUGAGAUCAAAUGCAUCAUCCAAGUAAAAAUUCCAGUAUUUGACUAGAAAAAAUACCAGCUACAGGUUUGGACAUCCACUGUUUAAAUUUCACUGGGUUACUAUGACAUGUGAAGCACUUGGCAUGAACAAAUAGUUUUUACCAAAACAAUUAGACUCCAUUAAAAUGGGAUCUUUUAAAACGCUUGGCACAUCUUAAUAUUUUAGCCAUGAAAAGAGAUGUGAUCAGAGGAGUAAAUGCAAUUUUGGUGUCAUGUACCUAUUAGAAAUGUAAUGAAAUAUGAACAAAGUUAAAUUUCACAACAAAGCCACCUUAUUUCCAGCAUCAAGGCGAUGUUUGGUGUGCAGGGCACAGAAGGGCAGGGUGUAAAAAUCCUGAGAGGUUUGACAUCGGUUUCCUUAGUGCAUCUCUCUGUUCUGUUGGGCUGUGCUCAUUCAAAAAGAGGACAGAUGUCAGAUAAAACUUGUUCUGGCAUCCCUGGCUGCUUGCUAGUGGCUCACCUGCUGCUGUUUGGGAGCAGCUCUGGGGAUAAAUGAAGCAGUGACAGAUGCCUGGUCCCAAAAAAACGGGGGGAGAUAAGGGACUUCCCAAACAGCACCUCACAGAGCAGGAGGCAGAGACAAGCAUCACACAAGCCAGCAGUGGACUCAUUCCAAACAUUCUUUUUAUCCUCUAAUCACCCUUAUUUGAUUCUCUUUCGUUCCCCCACCUCCUCCAAAGGCACAAUGAGGAAUAACUCAGGUUCCAUAGAAGAUUUUGCCAGAGCCAAUAGAAAGAAGUGCUGGUAGCUGUGUAAAAAUCUCAUUGUUUUUUAAAAACACAAAAGGAGAAUUAGCUGGGCCUAGCCUUGGGCCAGACCUGCUAAUUUUCUGCAGCAUAAAGUCAUUACACAUUUCAGGAGGUUCUCAGGAGCUGAUAGGAACCAUCUGAGCUGCAGAGUUAUAGAGGAAUUCCAGUCUCUGAUGAAAGGAUUGAGCAGGGAAUCCCUGGAGAGAUGGGAAGCCCAAGAGGUGUGGGAGGCUGGGACAGGGUGGGGACAAAAAGAUGUGGCUGGAGAUGGGCACUGAGAGGGUGUGUGACACCCAAAAGAUGUGGGAAGCUCUGGCAGAGGUGGAAAACGUGAAUGUAUGGGAGAACAAGAAUAUUUGGGAUGUGCAGCCAGAGGUGGAUUCCAGAAAGGUGAGGUAGGACAAAAAUUUGUGGGACAAAAGGAGGGUCAAACCUGUAUAUGUGUCAGACUGAUCAAAUGUGAGUUCCCAGCUAUUAAUAAAUACAUUUAGUCCUAUUUUUAAACCUUUCCAAACACUGCUUAGUUUCUGCAUGUUUUGAAAUGAAGUUAUCUCAGAAACAGAACUCUGGUUCCAAGGCUGCUCUGAGCCCUGGAAACAGCCUGAGAAAAGGGAACUCUGUGUACAUCAUGUUUCCCUCACUUCAGAUUAUAACAUGGAAUAGGUGAGGUAUGGCAAAAUUUAGAAUUCAAAUGUCAAAAUACAGAUUUCUUUGGCUCAAAUUUAAUUCAAAGACCAGCAGCUUAUAAUGAGUCCUGGGUACCUUUAACUCUCAGGUCAUCUCUUGGGGUGAUUGUUCAAGGUGCUCUGCUUAUGUUUGGUGGAAUUUACACAGGGAAAGCACUGCCUUAGUGAAUAAGAGACUGAAAAUGCAUGUCCAAGAAUACCAUUCUUCAUCUUGGAGAUAUAAAACCUAAAAGCAGAUAUGUAGAGAUCAGAAAUACAUUCUUAGCUAGGGUAUCACUGCUGCAUUUUCAACAGAUUAAUUCACAGGACUAGGUUUAAAAAAAAAAAAACAAAAAAAA
rnacentral:lncRNA from 1 species